GAAACACUUCACUCAUGCUGAAUUUUCUCAAUUCUCUUCAUGGUAUCAAAGCUCUCCAAGAGAGAACCUCUCCCGCAUAGUAAUGGUGAAACAGCUUCUCAAGUACUUCAAUGGUGAUAGCAACUCCAAUGAUCUGUUACUGUCCUUCCAAUCUGUAAAUUGAGUGGCUGUUUAUGAAGUCCAGAGGCAGCAUCCCUCUUCAUCCACUGCUCGUCUUGAGAUUUGUUUGGUCACCCCCUCCUCCAAGUUGCUUCAAAGUCAAUUGUGAUGCAUCAUUUCCUCAAGGUGGAACCUUUGCUGGUGUAGGUGUUGUUAUCAUUAACUCUCAAGGCUUUGCAAUUGCUGCCAUAUCUGAUGUCAUCAAUAUUUCCAACAUUCUUCGAGGGGAGGCAGCUGUUGUCCGCUCUGGUCUACUUCAUGCGUUAGCAGAAUGUUGUGACCACAUCUUGAUUGAGUAAGAUUGCAAAGAGCUUAUUUCAUUUCUUACGAAGGCAACCUCUAACCCUCCACUAGAUGUUCCCCCAUGGUUAGAGAUACUUAGCAUCUCUCCACCUACUUUAGUAGCUGCUCCUUCUCUUUUCUUCCAAGGUCCCUCAAUGCUGUUGUUGAUACCUUGGUCAGGAAGGCCGUGUCAUCUGCAUGUAUAACAAGCUGGCCUUUAUCCACUCCCUGGCUCGUCCAAAUUUCUAAUUGUGACUCCAUGCGUUUUUUCACGCAAUAAUCAAUACUCUUUUACCAGCUA